rnacentral:rRNA from 1 species
CAGUCGCCGCGGUAAUACGUAGGUGGCAAGCGUUGUCCGGAAUUAUUGGGCGUAAAGGGCUCGCAGGCGGUUUCUUAAGUCUGAUGUGAAAGCCCCCGGCUCAACCGGGGAGGGUCAUUGGAAACUGGGAAACUUGAGUGCAGAAGAGGAGAGUGGAAUUCCACGUGUAGCGGUGGAAUGCGUAGAGAUGUGGAGGAACACCAGUGGCGAAGGCGACUCUCUGGUCUGUAACUGACGCUGAGGAGCGAAAGCGUGGGGAGCGAACAGGAUUAGAUACCCCGGUAGUCCCUGUCUCUUAUAC